rnacentral:rRNA from 1 species
UACGUAGGGGGCAAGCGUUAUCCGGAAUUAUUGGGCGUAAAGAGUGCGUAGGUGGUUACUUAAGCGCGGGGUUUAAGGCAAUGGCUCAACCAUUGUUCGCCCUGCGAACUGGGUUACUUGAGUGCAGGAGAGGAAAGCGGAAUUCCUAGUGUAGCGGUGAAAUGCGUAGAUAUUAGGAGGAACACCAGAGGCGAAGGCGACUCACUGGACUGUAACUGACGCUGAGGCUCGAAAGCGUGGGGAGCAAACAGG